rnacentral:snRNA from 1 species
AUACUUACCUGGGCGGGGUCGAUGGGUGUCAAGAAGGCCUAUGGCCUAGGUUGACGACCUCCAGUGCACAAGGGAGGGGUGCCCGCCUAACRUCUCCCCAAGUGGGAGAGUGUACGUCAUAAUUUGUGGCAGCGUGGUACGCGUUCGCGCGGCCCCCA